AGAAAUUGCAUAAAUGAGUUAAACUCAAAACAAAAAUGAGGAAAAGAUUGCCCAGCAUUGGGGUGUCACUAAGUCAUGAGCAUAUAAAACAAGUCUAGAAUCAUAGUUUACAAUGUUCUACCAAAUACCAAAACAGAAAGAAAAGAUAACAAUAGAAGGGGAGACAAGGGUUGCGGACGCCGACAGCUACCUCACAUGUCUCCGAUAGCCAAAUGCAGAACUCAAUGAUCUCUACGACUGGUCUCACCUGGAUCUGCGCACAAGGUGCAGGGAGUAACGUGAGUGCUUCCAACUCAGUAAGUAACAUAAAUAAGUAAGGAACUGAGAAACAAUGACGAGCUAUGCAAUUACACUGUAUUUCAAUAACUUUCAAACAAAGAACAGUCAUGCUUCCAAAUUUAGUAGUUUAAGACAAUCAGUUCGUGCUCAAGUAAACCGGAUAUCAAAAAUCUUCCAGAAAUUUGCACAACAAGGACAGAUAACAACUGAGUGCAAUAAAUAAUUGAAAAUAAGUACAGUAUCUCAAGGCAAUAGUCACUCAGCUUGUCUCAACAGCUCAAUCACUCGGCUCUCAGCCCUCGGUAAUCAUACUCAAUAGGUACCUGUGCUCAUUGGGAGUGUGCAGACUCUGGAGGGGCUUCUUCAGCCCAAACGCUAUAAUCCGCACGGACAACUCACGUGCUAUAAUAUCAAAACAAGAUUCACACGGACAACUCAAGUGCCAUAAUAUCAAUAUCUCACCACUUGGCCCUAGGCCUCACUCAGUCAUCAACCUCCCUAGACUCUCGGUCUCUCAGAAAUCAUAUAAAAUAGGUCAAACAGAGAUGAUAACAUGUAUCAACAAUGAACAGUAAGAGACAGAGGCAUAAUAAGCAAGAAAAGCUAUGACUCAGUACAAAACAACAAUUAGCAGUUAAUUCAGCAAAUACACGACCUUUACGGGUCCCAACAGUGAUAUCAUAGGGCCUAAAACAUGAUUUCUAACAUAAAAUGCAGUAAAUUUCCAUAAAAACAAAGGAACACGUAGUAAAUAGUAGGCUACUCAAUUUCACAGUCUCGCGGGACGGACCAAGUCACGAUCCCUUCGGUGCACACCUACACGCCCGUCAUCUAGCUUGUGCGUCACCUCCCAAAAUAGUCAUAUAACAUAAAGUCCGUGGUUUCAUACCCUUAGGACCAGAUUUAUAACCGUUACUUACCUCAAUCCGAGCGAAUCUCUACUCCAAAAUGCCCUUGCCUCUCGAGUCGGCCUCUGAACGUCUCGAAUCUCGCCACAAGUAAUACAAUACAAUCAAUAUAGGCUAAAUGAUCAAUUCCACAAGAAAACUAUCAAAUGUAGAGUCAAAAUCCGAAAUCGACUAAGAUCGAGCAACCUCCUUGAUUCGGAAUUUUGAGGAUUCUCAUAAAAAUUCUGCCCCAGAUUAAAUGCAUACUUUGGCCAAUACAUUCUUUGGCGAUUCUGAACAUGAUAAGAUCGGGAAAAUUUACGACCUUUCCCCAGUUUCUGACCAUAGGGAAAUGAAGAUUUUAUUAUGAUGAGACCGAACCCAUAGAGUUGCCUACGUAUCCCUUCUUAAACGGGAAUCAGGUCAAGCGUAGUUCAGUUACAACAAAUAGAAAGUGCAAACAUAAUCUUAAACAUAGUAUCUGACCUCAUUUGGUCAUUCAAAUCCCCAAAAUCCACUCUCCAAUUCUCUAGCCCUAAAUCCCUAAAUUUCCAAUUCCAAUCUCUAAUUAAAUGAUGAACAAGGCCAUAUAUUCACGGAAAUUAGACCAAUAUGGGUUAGGAAGUGCAUCUCCUAGGGGUGAAACUUAAAUGACUCAAACUAGAAAGUGCGUUUCCUAGAUGAACUUAAACGACCAAAACUAGGAAGUGCAUCUCCUAAAAAGCAUAAUCCAAAAGACCCAGACUAGGAAGUGCGUCUCCUAGGGGUAAAAUUUGAAUGACUCAAACUAGGAAGUGCGUCUCCUAGGGAUGAAACUUGUAACAUAAGAUUAGGAAGUGCAUUUCCUAAAUAAUAUAACCUGAAAGAUUCAGACUAAUAAGUGCGUCUCCUAUAGAUAAAACUUGAAUCACUCAAACUAGAAAGUGUGUCUCCUAGGGAUGAACUUAAAUGACCAAAAACUAGGAAGUGCGUCUCCUAGGGGUGAAAUCUCACUUUAGGAAGUGCGUCUCCUAGAAAAUGUAACAAGAAUGACUCAAACUAGGAAGAUCGUCUCCUAGAUGUGAGACUGAGCUUGAGGAAAACUAUAAACUAAGCUUGACUAAAGUAAAAACUGACCCUAUUCUCCAGGCGGGACCCCUGAACUCAAGAAAAACUAAUGAUUACCAACUUAACAAAAUUAAAAACUGACCAUAUUAUCCAGGCGGGACCCCUGAACUUAAACAAAGCUAAAGAUUAACAACUUAAAAAUUAAAAAUUGAUCCUAUUCUCCAGGCGAGACUCCUGAACUUAAGGAAAACUAAAGAUUAACAACUUAGUAAAACUAGAAAUUGACCCUAUUUUCCAGGCGGAACUCCUGAACUUAAGGAAAACUAAGACUAACAUCUUAAGAAAACUAAAAAUUCACCCUAUUUUCUAGGUGAGACCCCUGAACUUAAGGAAAACUAAAGAUUAACGAAUUAAGGAAAUUAAACUGACCCUAUUUUCCAGGCGAGACCCCUGAACUUAAGUAAAACUAAAGAUUAACAACUUAAGAAAACAAAAAUUGAUCCUAUUCUCCAGGCGGGACUCCUGCCAAAGAUUCUUCUUAACUAGGGAUAUGCCUAGGAGGUAUGGUUCUUCUCAACUAGGGAAAAUGCCUAGGAGGUGUGAUCUUCUCAAUAGCCUUUGCGUAAGCAGGAUUGGGGGGGUAUUACACCUGAAAAAUUCAAGCUUCCAAGCUUUGAUAUGAAUAUAGCCUUCAUCCCUAUUUCAGUCAACGAAAACUUGUGAGUUUAAAAUAUGGUGGUUAGUUUGUGGCUUUGACUACGAGGGUGAUUUCUCUUGCACUUGUCAUGAUCAACUUUGAUUCAGCUUGGAAGACAGUGCUUCUUAUCGGUCAACUACUUUUUCGGUCAACCCUUAUCACAAGAAAUAUUCCUAAUUCGUUCAAGUCCAAUACCUUGUAUCUGAUGCAUUGCACUCGUAUUCUAACAUUCACCGAGUCUUUGGGUUUUACAUAGAUCCCAAAGAACGUCUGUUGUCAUCAACUCAGUGCACACACUAUUCUCCCAUGUCUUAUGCAACUUUAAUGUGCUUGCUAGACUCUGCUUUGUGUAAUUAAAAAGCUGGUAGUAGAUUUUGAAGUUAUUUUUCACUUAUUUCGACAAAAAUAGACUCAAGAGGAACUCAAACAAAACAAGAGGAACAAAGUAAGGAGAAGAACGAGAAGAGAUGGUAUCUAACAAGAAAAUUUUUACCCAGGAAAAGAACAAUGUGGAAACUAAUAUGAUUUGAAGGCCAACUCCACUGAUCAUGACAUGCAUUUUGGAUUAAGCGGCCUAAUAUAUCCAACCAAUCACACUUUCAGUUCAUGUCAUGUCUUCGUACUUCAAAAAUCGGAAUUUACAUGAUCCAAUUUCUCUGUAAAGUCACAAAACUCAUUCAACUUGUAGUGCCCUGAAGGGUUUUCACCAACAAGCCUCUCUCAUUUGUUCAUCUCUCAACUUAGCGUUGCCUUACAGUGCCCGUGAGAGUUUUCACCAAUAAGACUCUCUCAUUUUGUUCAUUUUUCCUUGUGCCAAUGAUCAAAAUGUUACCCAUGAUGUAAAUCAUACCCUUAUCUCGCUUGACUUGGCAUCCUCAAAGAUUGGUUGGAAGGUCGUUAUUUGGACCGUAGGGUAGGCUUUUGGACAGGGUCAGAAAGAAAGGCAUGAAGGCUCAAAUUAAAACUAAGUUAAAAGGGUUAAUUUAUUUACAACUUUUGGAAUCCAUUAAAAACUUUGCCACAGUUUCUAGAACAAGAGAAUUUGAUUCUUUUUUCUUUUUUUCUUUUUUUAGAUGGAAUUACCAAGAAAGGCUGCCCCACGUUUGAUUUCGUGGGAUUAUGAAAUAUUUUAUUUGGUGCAACCGAACUUUAAGGCUGCCUACGUAUCUUGUGGUGACGGGAAUCAGGUCGAACAUAGUUCAAACAUCCGACCUAACUAUUUUUCUUUCUUUCUAUUUCUUUUUUUUCAAAACAAACUACCCUAGUUUCUAUUUUCUGGGGGCAUGGACCUUUGACUGUUCUUUCUUUCUUCUUCUUUUUAUUAUUUGAACUUUCUAAGAGUUGCCCCAGUUUGUACUCUCGGGGCAUGGACUUUUCUUUUUGUCAUUUUUUUACUGUUAACUCAAAACUUGAUUCCAGAAGAGGGUGGUCAAAGAAAAUAAUACAAUCUCAAAAUGGGUAGCAAGGGGUAUAAAGUGUUUCGAUUGGAGAAAAAGGGCCUCCCAGCCCUGAGAAUGCCAAACAUGGUAUCCUUUCGCGAUCACAGCAUUGACGGACAUGUCUAUCUUCUUGGUGUGUCGUGGUCGAAAGACACUUUUCAUCCAUUAAUGUCAAACUUUACCACAAACUUUAAUUUAUUUCCUCAAACCAGACCUUCACAAUGAUUUGAAGGUUCCACAUGAAUUUUACUCGAGCUUAAUUCCAAAGUGUUUCGACUCUUUAUUCAUCCUCACAAGUGUCUCUUUCUCAGUUAUCCAAUUCAAGGCUAAAUUAGUUUUCUGGGAUCUGGCUAAAAUUUCGUGUGCAUGUCAUGUCAUUAGAACUAGCGGGAAAAGAACUGAGCACAUAAUGACAUAAAAGGACAAAUUAUAUUUCAUUGAUUAGAGGAUGGAAUGGUUUAACAACAAGACAAACGACCUAAAAUUCGAGUUACAAACCUAAAACAACCCAGAUACUGAAAAUAAAAACAGAACAGACAGACAAAACUCACACAAAUACAAUAGAGGGAUAGAAGAGUUUGACUCAAUAAAACAAAUAAAAUCUAGAUCACAACCCUGAAAUAAAUCAGAUAAUAGAAAAAUAUCAAAACAAGCUACCGAGAUUCCUUCAUAGUGAGGAGGGAAUGAUUUUUAAAUUGCUAAGCUUGACAUUUAGCCACAAAUUUGCUCAUCACAAUCACUAGGGCCUUCUCUAAUUUCAAAAUCAUUAACUUUAGUCAGCAAGUUGUCACACCCCUUUUUUAACCAAACCUCACUAACCCUCUUACAAAUAAUAAAAAGAUUUCGCAAGGCUCAAAAGGGUUUUUCAAUUUUGAAAGUGACAAAAAUUUGUGUUCAAAAAGAAAAUAAUUCAGAGUCGCCACCUGAUUCGGUGUGUCAGGUCACCAUUUUUUUUAAAAUGAUUUUUCCUUUUAAAAAACACUUAGGACUCCAAAACUAAAUCUGCACCAGAGAUUUGGGUAAGGGGGUUCAUUUGACUCGGGGAGAAGGUGUUAGGCACUCCCCAAGUCCCGUGAAAAUCACGGUUGCGUACUCAAUCUAGUUGGCUUUUAAGAUAUUUAAAUUAAGGUAAAACACACAAAGGAAAAUAAACAUCCAAAGGGUUCGAGGUCGUCCCUUCCUAAUAAAAAGAAAUAAAACAAAAUAAAGCAAGUUUUCUUAGCUCAUACUACGCCUCCGUUGAUGAUACCGUGACUCCAUUUACAUUUACUUCGGGGCAUUCCCCGGAUUAAAAAUAUUUACAAAGUCCACGGGGCAUUCCCCGAAUGAAUUUAUCUAAGGGACAACCUCUCACCUCAAAACCAAAAGCAAAUGAAAAAUCCUAAAAUUGCCUAUCUAAGUGUGGUCGGCCUAAACAUGCUUCUAACGGACAUUUAAAAUAAUAGACAUGACAAUCCUAAAUUUUUGUUCAAUUCUGGUACCAAGCCGUAUCAGUUUUGCUUUUAACCAACCCAAGACCAUCUAUGUUUCUAAUCAAAUUUCUUUCACAAAAUCCAUGCUAAUUCUCAAUUGCACAAUGACGUUCAAGACACUUACCAAACAGAAAUAUUUCUGCUAGUAACCAAAUGAUAGCAAAUUCAUUUUUAACUUUCAAUUUAAUUCCCCAAUAUCAACUCACAAAUAAAUCAUAUAGCCCGCACAGAUUUUCAGAUCGAACUAAGUCACUAGGCCAUGUCACAUUAUUAACGAUUUAGCAAAUUGGUUUAGUGUUGUUCUCAGGUGAAAUUAUGGAUCAAAAGGAAGCCCAGUAUUCAAACCAAAUGAAGCGAAUUACAAACAGAGGACAAACAAAUAGCAUUCAUGUCAUCAAAAAUCAAUCACAUACACGCGCACAAAAUCUAAAGCGAGAGCAAAGCGAGAAAUGAACCUCAAAAGAGUUAUCAGAUUUCCUUCGACACUUGAAAAUCGUACAAGAUCCUUAAGCCAAAAUCGAGCGAAUCGCAACACGAACAGGAUGAAAACAGCAACAAGAACUCGGACAGUAACCUCGACGUAUGACUGAACGAGACCUCGGCGAACAACAACGACUUCAAUAAACUCAACUCAACCUCAUGUACUAACCAAUACCACUAGUUUCUCGCGUAUGCCUGUGUAUGAGUGGUGAGGAUUUGCUGGUCUGGUUGGGGUUUCCGGCAUGUGUGACGGGGAUAGAGAUCGGGGUCAUUGGUUGGAGAGGAGCUGGUUGUUUUUAGGCGAGGGGUCACUGGCGGCUAGGCUACUGGUGGUUUAGGGCCGUCUUUAGGUGUUGUUCGUUGGUGUUUGGUGAAGUCAGGGGACUGUUGGUGGCGUGCAGAAGGAGAAGGGCUGUUGCUGACGGCGGGUUGCUGGUUCUGGCGGCAGCGGUGGUGUAGAUUAGUUAGGUUUCAGCUUGUUCCAUUGUUGUUUGAUUCAUGAGGAAGAAGGUUAAGGUUUGUGUUUGGUUUUUAUGUUGAAGAAGAAGGAAGGUCCGACAGCUAUGGAGGUUUAGGGUUCAGUUUGUCUCCUUUCCAUGAAGAAGAAGAUCCAGUGUGCUAGGGUUCUAGGGUUCUGGUCGCGUGUGGCCGGUGAAGAGCGUGGUGGGCGAUUUUGGUGCCUUUUCGUGGAGGUUUUGGCAGCUGGUCCCUUUUUCAAGACUAGGAGUUGAAAACUUUUUUUAGGGUUUCUAUAAUUGGUAUUUUAUAUGAAGGUGGGAAGGGAUGAUGUCCAUUGGAUUAGAAAGAAAUAGAUGGCUAGGAUUAAAUCUUGCACAUAAAUGGGCUAAUGGGUUGGGAAGAAUGGGCUAAGAAUAAUUGGGUUUAAGUUAAAAGGAAUGGACUCACACCUUUGGGCCUACAAAUUUCUUGUUGGACAAAGUCAAACUCAAAAAUCUUACCAAAAU
rnacentral:lncRNA from 1 species